CGAAAACUGGUCGAAGAGCACCCAAACCGGGCGAAAGGGGCCAUAAAGAAGGCUGGCGGGGGGAGGUGGAACCUCUGCAGAUUCCCCCAGCCGCCUCCAGGAACUUCCCCAAGGGGAAAAUCAGUUCACAUGAACUACUACUAUGCAGCUUAACUCAACACUUGUUCAAUGUGCCAUAAAGAAAUAUUGCCUUACCAAUAUCAUGUGACCAGUGGAGAUGUCCAUGUUGGACUGGACUGGUUCUUCACACCAAGAUGAAGUGCUGCUUCGAGCAGAGGGACUUGGAAUGGGUCCAUCACUGAACUGUGAAGAUAUGCUGUUGAUUCGCGAGGCGUGCAGAGGCUCUGGGUGAUCUGUUGAUUUGACUGCCAUACGCUGACGACAUAGCUCCUAGCACAUAAACAUUGUAGGAUUAAAACCCAGCAUCUAAGGAAUGCAUCUUGUAAUAUAUGCACUGAACACACGUAGGCUCAAUCCUAUACAUAGCUCUACUCUUGUGGCUGCCUAUGAAGCCUAUGCACAUAAUUGCAAGUCACAGAUAAAAUGAACAUGAGAAUGGACAUUUGUUGGUAUUCAUGACUGUAACUAAUAUUUAUAGGUAUGUGUACAGUACAGUACUCCCAGUAAGAGGGAAUCCCAGAUGUUGUUGACUACAGCUCCCAGAAUCUCUAGGACGCAGUCGGCUUUGGCUGAGGAUUCUGGGAAUUGUAGUCAAUAAUAUCAGGGAUUUUCUGUUAGAAGGAACACUGGUACAGUAUAUAUAUUUUACAGCACUGAUGAACAUAAAAUCCUAUAUUACAUAAAAUUAAAAAUAUCUUGUAACUUAAUAAUAUUAUUAUUAAUAUUAAUUUAUUAAUAUUAUUUUACCUUGACUGCGGGAAGAUAUAAAUGGCUGAAACAUGAUAAAUUGUAUUUAUAUCUAGAUUUCUAUAGCCUACAUUGCUGUCUGCUCAAGACUGUUAGGAUUCCUCCAAGUAUGAGAUUUCAAAACAUAUGGAUUUGAAACAGAUUGUGGCUGUGAUAAUUUGCUUACUCUAGAAGGCUGACUUCACGUGAGCUACUUUGAAGGUUGUAGAAUGAAGCUUGCAUAAGAUAAUUAAGCAUUAUGGAAACAUGCUUUUGUUGAAAAAUUCAGAUAAAUAACUUCAUUACACAUUUUGAGACUACUGAAGUUAACAAGGUUGCAAGGAAAAAUAGAAUUUGAUCCUGAAUAGGAAGAAACAGCAGACAAGAAAGCACCUGAACAAACAAUUUCUCAAAUGUAGAUUCUAGCUGCAUUUUUCUUCAUUAAAGUGAUGUAAACAAUG